rnacentral:lncRNA from 10 species
CACCCUGAUGCCAGCCGAUUCUCAAAAAGCCAGGAGGAUCCAAGCAGAUCAUUUGCCAGACGGAUGCUCGAGACUCUUGCAGUAAUUUGGGCAAAGAUUUCCACAGUGCAAAAUAGAAAAAACAACUGGCAAAUAGCUGUACAAAUUACAGUCCAUUUUCAUCAUGGAAUGUCAGUUUGGCAACAAUGGCAUCGAGGCCCCAAAGCAGCUCUGCAGUAGGGGGGUUCCUCCUUGGUGACUGGAUGGGCACAGCCAAGCACAGGCUCCUGAAGAUCCCAGCUCCAGGAAACAUCAGCAUGGUUCAUUGCAUUGUCCACCUGAAUUCUUCACCCCUCCCUGUGGCUGUGUCCAUUGCCCUGUAGUGUUGCAGUUCCCCUCAGGAAAAAGAUAUCAUUUACUUCUCUGACCCUUGAUUUGGAGCUUGGCUAUGUGACGUGCUUUGGCCAAUGGGAUAUUGGAUGACACAACAUAAGGAGAGACACAGAUAUGCAUAUGCACAAUGCAGCUUGCCUUUUUAUGCUUCUCCCUUCACCACGAAAAGAGCUUUCCCUGGGGGUAGCAGCUGUCCCUGCAGCCUGUGUUCAGAAUGCACAAAUGUGAGGAGCCAAGCCCAGCCAGCUUGAAAGUGAGUUGCCAGGCCCGGCGCAGUGGCUCACACCUGUAAUCCCAGCACUUUGGGGGGCCGAGACAGGCAGAUCACCUGAGGUCCGGAGUUCGAGACGAGCCUGACCAACAUGGAGAAACCCAGUCUCUACUAAAAAAUACAAAAUUAGGCCUGGCGCAGUGGCUCACGCCUGUAAUCUCAGCACUUUGGGAGGCCGAGGCAGGCGGAUUACCUGAGGUCGGGAGUUCGAGACCAGCCUGGCCAACAUGGAGAAACCCCGUUUCUACUAAAAAUACAAAAGUAGCCGGGCGUGGUGGCACAUGCCUGUAAUCCCAGCUACUUGGGAGGCUAAGGCAGGAGAAUCGCUUGAACCCGGGAGGCAGAGGUUGCGGUGAGCCGAGAUCACGCCAUUGCACUCCAGCCUGGGCAACAAGAGCAAAACUCCGUUGAAAGAAAGAAAGGAAAGAAAGGAAGGAAGGCAGACAAAAUUAGCCGGGCGUGGUAGCGCAUGCCUGUAAUCCCAGCUACUCAGGAGACUGAGGCAGGAGAAUCACUUGAACCUGGGAGGUGGAGGUUGCAGUGAGCUGAGAUGGUGCCAUUGCACUCCAGCCUGGGCAACAAGAGUGAAACUUUAAAAAAAAAAAAAAAAAAAGUGAGUUGCCUACCCUAGCUCAGACCACCUCCAGCCAACCCACAGAUGUGUUAGAAAUGAGUGCUUAUUUAAGUAUGGCAUUGACAUGUUGUGAUUAGUUGUUAUGCACCAUUAUAGCAAAAAAAUUGCACACUGAUAAAAGUAACUGUUCCCUCGUUGGCUUCACCAGCUUUCCCAAGAAUUGUUUAAUCCCAUUCCGUGUAUAAAAUCACUCUCUGCUGAGAAUCCUUUUUCUGAGAAAAGAAUUCUGAGAUUUUUUUUUCUGCUUGAGGCAGACCAACACUCAUUCCAAGAACAACUGGAAAGGCUGAAUAAAACACAGAAAACUUUUUUAAAAAGUUUUUUGAAAGCUUCCCAGUUAACAAACAUUUGAAGGGCCAUAAUCUCAAAAGAAGAAAAACACAAGGAGGCAAGCUGGCCCUCUGUGAACUACUUUUCCUUUCAGGAAACGUGCUGAUUUUAGCUAAGAGGCCGAGCAUUUGGGCAGACGGCCAUAGCUAAGAGGCAGCAAAGUCAGCAGAGUCUUCAGCUGGAGAGACAAGAAAUGGAGACUGAGGUUGUCAAGGCAGCUGGAACUGAAGGGGCCGAGAUAUCAUGUAGAAGGGAGACACAGAAAAGGAACACUUUCCCCUUGAGGCAUCUGCUGAAUUAAGCUAUGCAGAAAGGCUAUGAAAGGCAGCAGGUUUUGGCAGUGUCAUAUUAAUGAGAUAAAAGUUGGAGUUCAGGACCCACCAAGGAAAAGAAGCCUAAUAAUCACAUCAGACGCUCAGCUGGAAUCCUUGGAGGACCACACUCUAGAUAGAUGGGCAAACCAGAGAUGGAGAUGAAGCCUUCCAAAAACUGCAACAUAGACUCUAGUCAGUUCAGUACCAUUGGAUUAAGGUAAAAUCUUCCCACUCUGUCUAUCAGAUGACAUGGUAAACCCUCCCUUGAGACAGACAUUGUUUUCAGAUAAUGUUUCCUGGAGCCACUAAAAUUUAUUAUAAUGGUUAGCAUUCAACAAUAAGUGAUCAAACACACCACAAAACAGGAAGGAGGGGAAAACAGACACAACAAAACGGAGCCACUAAUGACCCAGAUAUUGGUGUUAUCAGACACAGACUUGAUGGGUGGAAUAGAGACUUUCAUCAAAGAACUGGAAUCUAUAAGAAAGAAUGAAAUGGAAAUUUAAAACUUAAAAAUACAAUAACUGAAAUUAAGUACUUAGCAUAUGGGUUAACUACAAUUAGAUUUAGCAGAAGGAACAUUCUUUGAACUGUAAUACAGGACAGAAUAAAAACUCUAAGCUGAAAAACAGAGACAAAGAGUAUGGAAAAUACAGCAAAGAACAUAAGAUACUUGUGGGAAGUGGUGAACAGGCCUAAUACAUACGUAACUGGAGUCUUAGAAGAAGGGAGGAAGAUGGGGCAGAAGGAACAGUUAAAUAAAUAUAGGCUGAGAACUUUCCAAAACUGAUAAAGCUUUAUGAUCCCCAAGCAGGAUAAAUAAAAACAAAACUGCAUCCAGGCACACUAUACUUUUUUAUUAUUAUUAUUUUUUGAGACGGAGUUUUUCUUUGUCACCCAGGCUGGAGUACGGUAGUGUGCGAUCUCAGCUCACUGCAACCUCCGCCUCCCCAAGGUCCAGCGAUUCUCCUGCCUCAGUCUCCUGAAUAGCUGGGAUUACAGGCACGCACCACCAUGCCUGGCUAAUUUUUGGAUUUUUUAGUGGAGAUGGGGUUUCACAUGUUGGCCAGGUUGGUCCCGAAUUCCUGACCUCAGGUGAUCCACUGGCCUUGGCCUCCCAAAGUGCUGGGAUUAUAGGCGUGAGCCACCGCACCCGGCCCAGGCACACUAUACUUAAACUGCUGCAAAUGAAAGACAAGGAAAAAACAUUAAAAGCAGCUAGAGGCAGGUAGGAGGGACACAUUUCUUCUUUUCUUUUUUCUUUCCCCUCCCUCCCUCUCUCCUCCUUCCUGCCUCCCUCCUGUCGUUUUCUUUUGUAGAGUGGGGGAUCUUGCUCUGUUGCCUGGGCUGGUUUUGAACUCCUGGGCUCAAGGGUGCUGGGAUGACAGGCAUGAGCCAGCGCACGUUACUGACACAUUACUCUCAAAGGAGAAACAAUAGCACUGAAAAUCACUUGUCAACAGAAAUGAUGGAAGUGAGAAGAUAAUGGAGUGCCAUUCUGAAGUUCCUCAAAGAAAAAAGUGUCAACCUGUAAUCCUAUAUUCACAAAAUAUACUUAAAAAUGAAUUUGAAAUAGAUGUUUCUAUUCAAAAACUGAGAAAGGCUGGGUGAGGUGGCCUGUAAUCCCAGUCCUUUGGGAGGUCAAAGCAGGCAGAUUGUUUGAGUUCUGGAGUUUGAGACCAGCCUGAGCAACAUGGUGAAAUCCCUUCUCUACAAAAAAUACAAAAGAAUUAGCCAGGUAUGGUGGUGCCUGCCUGUAGUCCCGCUACUCGGGAGGCUGAGGUGGGAGGACUGCUUGAACCUAGGAGGUUGAGGCUACAGUGAACCAUGAUCAUGCCACUGCACUCCAGCCUGGGCGACAGAGUGAGACCCUGUCUCAAAAACAAGCAAACAAAAAAACACAAAAAAACCUGAGAAAAUUUGCUGUCAGCAGAUGUGCAUACACAAAAAAUACUAAAGGGAAUUCUUCAGGUAGAAGAAAACUGAUCUAUGAUAGAAUCACAGAAAUGCAGGAAAUAAUAAAAAAAAACAGAGUGAAUAUGUGGGUGAAUACAAAUGAAUAUUGACUGCACAUAGCAAUAAUAAUAAUGUCUCAUUAGGUGUAAAAUAUAUGUGAAAUUAAAAUGAGUAAUAAUAAUAUACAUGCAAGAGUAGAAUGGAGGUAAAUAGAGAUUGAGUAUUGUGAGAUCAUAGCAUUGUCUGGGAAACAAUAAAAAGUAAAAUUUGUAUUAGAUUAUAAUAAUGUACAGAAGUUGUAAUCUGUGGAGGAAACCACUGAAGAAAUUAUAAAAGAAUGUGUAAGUAGAACCAAUGGUAGGGGGGGAAACGGAAUUAAAAAAAUAAUCAGAAAGAAAGCAACAGAAAAGAAAAAAAUAAAAACAAAAAUGGGUAAGACAAAUGGAAACAAAUAGUAAGAUGGUAUUUAUGAACACAACUAUAUCAGUAAUUACAAUAAAUGUAAAUUCACGAAAUACACAAAAGACAAAAAUUGACAGACUUGAUUAAAACAACUCUAUUCAAGAGACAUGACAUCAUUAUAAGAACACUGAAAAUUCAAAAAUAAGGGGGAAAGUGAAAAAAAUACCACUGUGAGUGGUAGAGAAAGCCAUUUCACAUAAUAAAGGGUUCACUCUACCAGAAAACGUCAAUUUUAAAUGGGUAUGAACCUAAUAACACAAUCUCUAAAUGCAUAAAACAAAAAUUAACAAAACUCAAAGGAGAAAUAAACAAAUUCAUAAUAAUAGUGGCGGGCUUUAGCCUCUCUCAGUAAUUUAUAGAAAAACAGACAAAAAUAUCAGUAAAGAUGUAGAUAAUUUGACCAACCUGAUUAACAAACUUGACCCAGUUGAAAUACACAUAACACCUGCACACAACUGCAGAAUGCACAUUCUUUCAAGUGCAAGAACAUUAUGAUAAGAAUAUUAUAGGAAAGUCUGUCAUAAACAUAGCUUAUAUAAAAAUGUAACAGCAAAUUAAUCUAAAUUUUAUUUAUUUAUUUACUUAUUUUAUUUUUUUGUUUAUACUUAUGUCAUAGUUUAUAUAAAAAUAUAACAGCAAAUUAAUCUAAAUUUUAUUUAUUUAUUUAUUUACUUAUUUUAUUUUUGGAGACAGAGUCUCGCUUUGUUAUCCAGGCUGUAGUGCAGUGGCGUGAACAUGACUCACUUCAGCCUUAACCUCCUGGGCUCACGCAAUACUCCUGCCCCAGCCCUCCAAGUAGCUGGGACAACAGGCAUGUGACACCAUACCUGGCUAAUUUUUGUGGUUUUUGUAGAGACCGAGUUUCACCACGUUGGUCUCAAAUUCCUGAGCUUAGACAAUCUACCUGCCUUGGCCUUCCAAAGUGCUGGGAUAAUAGAUGUGAGCCACUGAGCUUGACUUAAAUCUAAAUUUUAUUUUAUUUUAUUUUAUGGCCAUGCUCCCUCUAAUAAAUCUAAAUUUUAAAUAAAUAAGUCCAAGUAUUAUUGUGUUUAUGUGUAUAAACCUGUGCACACACACAAACGCGUACACACCCUGCUGGUUUCUAUUACAAGAAUGUUAAGUUUGGUUUGACAUUCAACAGUCAAUUAGUAUAAGUCAUCACAUCCAAAGAAUAAAGGAGAAAAAUAAAAUUAUUUCAAAAGGUGCAGAAUAAGUAUUUGAGAGAAAUUUAACCUCAUUUGUAAUUAAAAAAAAUCUUUUUAACAGCUUGAGAAUAUAUGUUAAUGAGUACAUUAAAAAUCCUAUAACAACCAUCAAACUUCAUGGUGAAUAUUGACAACUCUCCACAUGCCACACCCACCACCCCUGAGAUUGAGGAUGAGACAAGAAUACCCACUAUCACUACUUAUAGUCAGCAUUCUGCUGGAGGUCCUAGCCACUGCAAUUUGUAUACCAAUUUUAUAUCUUGCAACCUUGCUGAACUUAUUAGCUCUAGUAGUUUUUUUGUGUGUGGAUUCCUUAGGAUUUUCCAUAGACAAGAUUAUGUCAUGUGCAGAUAUAGUUUUACUUCUUUCUUUAUGAUCUGGAUCACUUUUAUUUCUUUAUCUUGUCCAAUUGCUCAGCCCCUGCAGUUUGGCAAGAGCUAAAUAAGGCAUAAAGAUUAAGAAAGGAAGAAAUAAAACUGUCAUUCACAGAGGACAUGAUUAUACAAAAAUAAUCUGCAAAUUAUUAUAAUUUAAAUGAAUGUCACAAGGCCACUCACUGGAUAACAAGGUCAACAUAGUUUUGUAGCAACAGAAUCUGUAUAUACUAGCCAUAAACAAAUAUAAAACGUCUAAGAAUAAAUCUAUUGAAGGAUGUGCAAGAACACUUUACUGAAAACCACAAAAAUAGUUCUGAGAAACAUACAAAAGACUUAAAGUGAAGAGAUAUACCAUGUUAAUGAAUAGGAAAAUUGAAUAUUUUAAUGAUGUCAAAUGGCCCCCAAAUUGUUCUACAUAAUCAAUUAAAUCCAAUAAAAUUCUAGCACUUUAUUUUGUGGAAAUUGACUAGCUGAUUCUAAAGUGUUUUAUGGAAAUGUAAAGGGCUUCUUUCUUCUGGAGUUGCCUUGUGGACAGGAUUUGAGACAACCCAGGCCAGGUCUCUCUGGUCCAUGGAAAGCAUGUGUAUGCUUUUUGCCCUGACUAUGUCUGUAGAGAACAACCAAAACAACAACCUCCUCCCCAUCAGAGAGCCAGCUAGUCUCUUGCCAUUUAGAUUUUUCAGGGAUGAGUCAGAGAUACCAGUCUACUCUGUCCUGCAGAAAAGGAUACUUAUCAACUUUUCCACGUGGCCCUAGAAAAGUCACUGCUAGUCAGAAAUCUCACUUUGGAAUGUGGGGGUGGCUGGCAUCUAUCCGGAUGUCAGAUGAAACAGGAACAGUUCCACUGUAGUAGCCUGCUCUAUAAACACACAGAGAACCCCUAUUACAUGUGAACUAUGAAGCUAUUAGAAACUACAGCUUUGUGGACUACUUUGAAAAUGUGCAAGUGGGCCGGGCGUGGUGGCUCACGCCUGUAAUCCCAGCACUUUGGGAGGCCGAGGCGGGUAGAUCAUGAGGUCAGGAGAUCGAGACCAUCCUGGCUAACACAGUGAAACCCCGUCUCUACUUGAAAAUACAAAAAAUUAGCAGGGCGUGGUGGCAGGCGCCUGUAGUCCCAGCGACUCCGGAGGCUGAGGCAGGACAAUGGCGUAAGUAAACCCGGGAGGUGGAGCUUGCAGUAAGCCUAGAUCGCGCCACCGCACUCCAGCCUGGGCGACAGAGCGAGACUCCGUCUCAAAAAACAAACAAACAAACAAACAAAAGAAAAUGUGCAAGUGAAAUAAGUGACAAAAAGCAAACACAAGAUAUUCUGUCCAUACGAAACACUGCGAGGCGACACUUGUAUUUGUAGAUUGACAGAAAUUGCAGGUGGAGUUAAAGAGGUACAAACUCAGUAUAACAUUCAUUGCCUCUUUUGCUAAAGUUGUUUCACUGCAUAAGAAAAAGAUACUGGUCGGGCCGGGUGCGGUUACUCAUGCCUGUAAUCCCAGCACUUUGGGAGGCUGAGGCAGGUGGAUCACCUGAGGCCAGGAAUUUGAGACCAGCCUAGCCAACAUGGUAAAAUUCCGUCUCUAUUAAAAAUAAAAAAAAUUAGCCAGGCAUGGUGGCGGGUGCCAGUAAUCCCAGCUACUUGGGAGGCUGA